CCAGACGGCUGGAUGGUCGCUCUUCGCCCCGCUCGGCUUCGGCCGGGCGGGAUGGAGGGAGGAAAGUCCGGGCUCCACGGAAACACGGUGCCGGGUAACGCCCGGCGGGGGCGACCCUAGGGAAAGUGCCACAGAAAGCAAACCGCCGUUCCGCGGCGCCGGGGGCAACCCCGGAUGCAGCCGAGCGGUAAGGGUGAAAGGGUGCGGUAAGAGCGCACCGCGCAUGCCGGCAACGGCUGCGGCACGGUAAACCCCACCGGGAGCAAGACCAAAUAGGGACGGCCGGUCGGCGUCGCCUUCGGGCGGCGUGCGGCGCGCCAGUUUCCGGGCUGCCGUCCGGGUCGGUCGCGCGAGGCGCUCGGUAACGAGCGUCCCAGAUGAAUGACCAUCCAGAGGGGUCCGCCCCUUGGACAGAACCCGGCUUACAGGCCGUCUGGCAAC
rnacentral:RNase_P_RNA from 1 species